UGCUCAAGUGGCCUAAUGGUUAGAGUAUCUGCCUUGGAUGUAGGAGGUUGUGGGUUCAUACCCCAGCUGAGUCA